rnacentral:rRNA from 1 species
GGCAGGCCUAACACAUGCAAGUCCAGCGCGCCCUUCGGGGUGAGCGGCGGACGGGCUUAGUAACGCGUGGGUAACGUGCCCUUCUCUAAGGAAUAGCCACUGGAAACGGUGAGUAAUACCUUAUACGCCCUUCGGGGGAAAGAUUUAUCGGAGAAGGAUCGGCCCGCGUUAGAUUAGAUAGUUGGUGGGGUAACGGCCUACCAAGUCUACGAUCUAUAGCUGGUUUUAGAGGAUGAUCACCAACACUGGGACUGAGACACGGCCCAUACUCCUACGGGAGGCAGCAGUGGGGAAUCUUGGACAAUGGGCGCAAGCCUGAUCCAGCCAUGCCGCGUGAGUGAUGAAGGCCUUAGGGUCGUAAAGCUCUUUCGCCAGAGAUGAUAAUGACAGUAUCUGGUAAAGAAACCCCGGCUAACUCCGUGCCAGCAGCCGCGGUAAAACGGAGGGGGUUAGCGUUGUUCGGAAUUACUGGGCGUAAAG